CAAACACUGACACACAUGCAAAUACCGAGACACGGCGAUACAAACACAGACACACGUAAAGAUACAGAGACACACAGAUGCACACACUAACACAGAUACAGAGACACACAGGUGCACACACUGACACACAUACAAAUACAAAGAAACUCAGAUGCACACACUGACACACAUACAGAUAUAAAGAUACACACAAUGACAAACAUACAGACACACAUACUGG